ensembl:misc_RNA
UUGGCAGCACUGAAAAUUAAAGUUCUGCAUUUAUCUACAGAACAGGUACAGCACAGGCAGUAGGAGUUUUCCCAUGCUUGUUCCACCAUGUACUAUUGAACCUUUAAGACAGAUGGAGGCUUGUUCAGCUUCUACAUUAAUUCCAUCCUUUGCCUGAA